rnacentral:lncRNA from 1 species
UUCUGUUAGCUUGAGGCUUGGGCCGAGAGAAAAGAGGCUGCUGAAAACCGUCUGCGUCUGUUUUCUUCAUGCUAUUGCUGGAGGAAGACUCAUUCCAAAUGCUGUGGCAGAUGAAGGCUCACAAGGAACUGAAAUAAGAAGUGGUAAAACUGCCCUCGGUUAUGGCUACAGUAUUCGAUGAGUGUAAGGUACAGUCCAGUUCCAGAAAGCCUGACUAUGAGGCCAUCACUCUUACUCAUUGAGUACAGCUCUUUACUUUCUCCAUCGAGGCAUCCACCAAACUCUACAAAAUCUAGUUAAUUGCUCCCUUCCCUCUUCCACCAAACUUGGACUCUCUCCUUGUUUCUAU